rnacentral:rRNA from 1 species
UCUAAGAUGGACAGCGGCGAAAGGGAGAGUAAUGAGUGGAUUACCUACCCCCAGGACCGGGAUAGCUGUGGGAAACCGCAGGUAAUACCGGAUAAUAUCUCCGGAUCAAAUGGUGAGAUUCCGCCAGGGGAUGGGUCCGCUUCCUAUUAGCUUGUUGGUGGGGUAACGGCCUACCAAGGCAACAAUGGGUACCGGGUGUGAGAGCAUGGCCCGGCUCACUGGGACUGAGACACUGCCCAGACACCUACGGGUGGCUGCAGUCGAGAAUCUUCCGCAAUGGGCGAAAGCCUGACGGAGCGACGCCGCGUGCGGGAUGAAGGCCUUCGGGUUGUAAACCGCUGUCAGUUGGGAGGAAAUCUAUGGGGGUUAUCCCCCGUAGUUGACCUAUCUUCAGAGGAAGGACGGGCUAAGUUCGUGCCAGCAGCCGCGGUAAGACGAACCGUCCAAACGUUAUUCGGAAUCACUGGGCUUAAAGGGUGCGUAGGCGGCUUGGCAAGUUGGGUGUGAAAUCCCUCGGCUCAACCGAGGAACUGCGCUCAAAACUGCCAAGCUAGAGGAAGAUAGAGGUGAGCGGAACUCAAGGUGGAGCGGUGAAAUGCGUUGAUAUCUUGAGGAACACCGGUGGCGAAAGCGGCUCACUGGGUCUCUUCUGACGCUGAGGCACGAAAGCUAAGGUAGCAAACGGGAUUAGAUACCCCGGUAGUCUUAUCUGUAAACGAUGAGCACUUGAUUGGAGGGUCCUCCAUAGCCUUCCAGUCGUAGCGAAAGUGUUAAGUGCUCCGCCUGGGAGUAUGGUCGCAAGGCUGAAACUCAAAGAAAUUGAGGGGGCUCACACAGCGAUGAGGAUGUGGCUUAAUUCGAGGCUACCCGAAAACUUAUCCAAUCUGGACUUGUAUGGAUUACCCUGGGAAACAUGGGCCACGCCUUCGGUGGAA